CCAUGUUAGCCAGGAUGGUCUUGAUUUUCUGACCUUGUAAUCCGGCUGCCUCAGCCUCCCAAAGUGCUGGGAUUACAAGCGUGAGCCACUGCGCCCGGCCUAGUUGAGGAGUAAAUGGACUGGAUUAAAGUUAAACCAUAACCCCAAAUUCAGGUUCUUACUAAACCUCUUCAAAGAAAUGGCAGCAUGAUGAGCUUUGAAAAUGUGAAAGAAAAGAGCAGAGAAGGAGGGCCCCAUGCACACACACCCGAAGAAGAAUUGUGUUUCGUGGUAACACACUACCCUCAGGUUCAGACCACACUCAACCUGUUUUUCCAUAUAUUCAAGGUUCUUACUCAACCACUUUCCCUUCUGUGGGGUUGUGAUCAGAAGCCUCGUACUGUUCCUACCCUUGGAAACGGCGCAUGGGAUACCUGCCAACAACACAUACGCACUUCAUCAUGGACAGCAAACACACUCGUCAUUCAAAACCAGCAUUCACGGGAAAGCACUGUUUCUGUUUGCCUUUUUAUGUUAAUCCGCAUGCAACAUAUUUUGAAAACAGAUACACUUCAACAGUUCAGAAUAUGCUAGUACUAAUAAAACCAACAUGUUACAUGCUGA
rnacentral:lncRNA from 1 species